rnacentral:rRNA from 1 species
GACGAACGCUGGCGGCGUGCCUAAUACAUGCAAGUCGAGCGAAGUUUUUCUGGUGCUUGCACUAGAAAAACUUAGCGGCGAACGGGUGAGUAACACGUAAAGAACCUGCCUCAUAGACUGGGACAACUAUUGGAAACGAUAGCUAAUACCGGAUAACAGUAUUUCUCGCAUGAGAGAUAUUUAAAAGUUGGUUAUGCUAACACUAUGAGAUGGCUUUGCGGUGCAUUAGCUAGUUGGUGGGGUAAAGGCCCACCAAGGCGACGAUGCAUAGCCGACCUGAGAGGGUGAUCGGCCACACUGGGACUGAGACACGGCCCAGACUCCUACGGGAGGCAGCAGUAGGGAAUCUUCCGCAAUGGGCGAAAGCCUGACGGAGCAACGCCGCGUGAGUGAAGAAGGAUUUCGGUUCGUAAAGCUCUGUUGUUAGGGAAGAAUGGAUAUGUAGUAACUAUACAUGUAAGAGACGGCACCUAACCAGAAAGCCACGGCUAACUACGUG